rnacentral:lncRNA from 1 species
CCGCUGCCACUGCUGCUGCUGUUGCUGUUGCAGGGUACUGUUGCAAUCCCCACUAUGCGAGCUUGGUAAGCAUGUAUUCAAGCAGUGAGUGAUUCAGUCAAGCAAGAGCGCCCUUUGCGUUAACGUUCUCACUUAGGAUUGCACGGAAGCUCCUCACAUGCACGACAGCACGACAACACGAGAGCUCACACAUACACACAUAUUUGUGAGGUCGCUG